GACGAACGCUGGCGGCGUGCUUAACACAUGCAAGUCGAACGGGGCGAAGUGAUAGCUUGCUAUUAUGGAGCCUAGUGGCAAACGGGUGAGUAACGCGUAGGCAACCUGCCCUUNAGAUGGGGACAACACCUCGAAGGGGGUGCUAAUACCGAAUGACGUUUCCUAGUCGCAUGACCUGGAAACCAAAGGCCGGGCAACCGGUCACUGAAGGAUGGGCCUGCGUCUGAUUAGCUAGUUGGUGGGGUAACGGCCCACCAAGGCGACGAUCAGUAGCCGGUCUGAGAGGAUGAACGGCACAUUGGGACUGAGACACGGCCCAAACUCCUACGGGAGCAGCAGUGGGAAUAUUGCACAAUGGGGGAAACCCUGAUGCAGCGA
rnacentral:rRNA from 1 species